ensembl:lncRNA
GGAGUAUAGCGUUGUAGGGGCAGGGGGGGGCUGUGAUCUGGGCCAGAGGUCAGAGGGGGUUCUGGAGCUGCCUCUGAGUCAGCCGGCAGCAUCCCGUCCGAGGUCGUCCUCCCGUCGGAGACAUGAAAGGAAGGAGGGAGUCAUGGAGCUGUGGUCAGCUGACUCACCGGUAGGAACGGCUGAGGAGAUAGAGGCACGUGCUGUGUGUGUGUGUGUGUGUGUGUGUGUGUGUGUGUGUGUGUUGUAUCCUUGUGCUCCUGACGGAUGCACCAAUUAUUUAAUUUCCUUUUCCCGGUGUUGGAAUGCCGGAGAGGGAUUCCUGUGCUCUGAGUGUUGGCCGCGUCACCUAUCUCCACCACCUAGAUCCUGUUUCAUCCUCCCUGCCCCGAACCCGGGACUUUCCCGGUGUUUUGCGUGGCCCGAGAUUGAGGAAGUGAGUGAGGUUUGUGGGUUUCUUGAGUGUUUGUGGUAAGCCCCGGAUAGUGUUUAUUCUGAAGAAUGAACUGGUUGAAUUGUAUUUCUAGGGAACUAUCACCACAGAUUGUAUUUUCUGGGGCUGCUUACAAGAGCUGUGGUGUAGAAGGAUGACGUGUGGAUUGGAGCACAUGGUACGAGGCGAGUGGGCAUACUGCAAGUGUUUUAAGAUGGUGCGGUAGAGAAAGGUGUUUUACAAAGGUAAAUCAAGGGUUAAUACGCCGGCAAACACACCCAGGAUACGCCGGCUGUGGGUACACAUGGGUGUGCUUGUGCGUUCUUGACGUGCGUGUGCACAGCCGAUGCACCGGCGUGGUGAGGUGAAUGAACAGAGGAGGAGGAUGUAGAGCACCGCGGAGGCUGGCUGACUCACCACGAGUCACGGUGAUCGCCCCAGACAAGCGACUCCCUUUUACUGUAAAGAG